AUGGAUCUCUGGCUUCUCCAUUAUGUGGCACUCUGUCUCCUUGGAGCAGGCUCACUUUGUGCAGAAGUUGUCCAGACUCCGGGACAACUGGUCAAAGGAAAGGGACAGAAAGCCAGUGUGAGCUGUGUGCCAAUCAAAGGAUGUGACUAUGUUUACUGGUAUCAACUGAUUCCUGGAAAAGAGUUUAAGUUCUUGAUUUCCUUUCAGAAUGAAGAUGUAUUGUAUGAAGGAGAGAUGUCCAAAGAAAGAUUUGUAGCUGAGUGUCCUACAGGUAGGCUAGAGAUCCAGUCCACAGAGCUGCAGGAUUCUGCAGUGUAUUUCUGUGCCAGCAAUAUAGGCCAGGACACAUAA